rnacentral:rRNA from 1 species
AAACUAGGAUUAGAUACCCUAUUAUGUAUGGCUGUUAACAUCGAGGGCCCGAUACUCAGACCCUCCGCCCGGGGACUACGAGCAUUAGCUUAAAACCCAAAGGACUUGGCGGUGCUUUACCCCCCACUAGAGGAGCCUGUUCUAGAACUGAUAACCCCCGUUGAACCUCACCAUCCCUCGUUUAACCCGCCUAUAUACCGCCGUCGUC